UGUGUUUUAUACAUUAUAAAUUUAUCAAAUUAUUUUUAUUUGUUUCAUGCAAAAGGAGAAAAAUAUGGCUAAAGUCACUAACCUUUUUUAUAUUACGAUUCUCUUUCUUUCACUAUUUUUCAUUGCAAUGAACGAUGCCGCAAGAUAUGAAUGUCGUGAGGACUCUCAUUGUGUAACGAAAGUUAAGUGUGGGCUUCCUCGAACUCCGAAAUGUAGGAAUUACAUAUGUUUUUGUCAUAAUCCAAAUAAAUAUAUAUGAUGAUAAAAUGUUCCAUUA